UCUUGGGAGGAGAAAACUGGGAGAGCUUUGGAUGUUUGUGUCCUCCUGGGGGUGUGGCACUUGGAAUAAAUGGUCAUGGACUUCUCUGAAGUUCAUGGGGUGAGGCCGGGCUGGGCUGCUGCUGUGCCCUGUCAGAGCAGGAGCUGCUGGGACAUUCCUGGAGCUGUGCCUGCUGUGGGAAAGGAGAGCUGCAAGGGGAGAGGAGGAGUCGGGUCUGAUUCUGCAGCUGCUCAGGUAGUACCAAGCCCUGGAGCCCGCAGGUGUUUGCUGUCCUGCUCUCCUGGGCUCCCCCAAAGUGCCUCUCCCUGUUCUGGCUGUGGCUGAGGCUGGAGUGUUCCCCUGCAGAGCCCAGGGGCUGAGGCUGGUCCACAGCCCUCAGAAAGGAGAGGACACCUGAGCAGGAGCUCCGUGUUGGUGCCUCCCUGCCCUGUCCUGCUGGGCCCCCUCUGCAGCUGCUCUGGAAAGGUGGAAAGUUUGUUACAGAUACUGGAAGGAUGAGCGUGGAGCAGGAGCUUUGGAUGGUUUGGGAAGAGGAAAAAUGAAAAAGGAGAAUAUUUUUGAUGGAAAUUUGCCCAACAGGUUCCUCUCAGGGCUUCAGUCACCCCCAAACCCACAGGGCUCCUCGUGGCUUCCCCGGCGACAGCGAAGCCGACACAGGGAUGCCAGAGCUGGGGACACAAAGGCAGCACCGCCACCCUUCCCCUGCCCUCUGCAGAGCCAGCGGCGACCUCGGCGUGGCCAGGGAGCAGCGACGUGUCCUCAGCCACCUUUAACCCCAGGUGAGACUGGCUCAUCCAGCCCCACCUUGCCACGGCAGGGACACCUCCCACUGUCACAGGUGCUCCCAGCCCUGUCCAGCCCGGCCUUGGGCACUGCCAGGGAUCCAGGGGCAGCCACAGCUCUGUGGACGCCCCAGGCACUGAGCGUCCUGCUCCGGCUCUCAGGGUUGUGGUGAUCAUGAGAUUUAAGGUCCCAGAAUAAUUUUCCCUGGGUCAGGCUAAGAGGGAACCCUGGAGACUUUUGCCUUCUGGGAUCUGUGCACCUCCUGCACACAUGCUGCUCUGUGCCAGGAGCCUGCCCAGGUGUUUUGCUCUCCUCUUAUUUCAGGCCAUGGCUUUGGAUUAAAUGCUCAUGAUCUGAACCCUGAGUUGUGCUGUGAUCCAGGGGAGGGGAUGUCCCACAGAUCCAGGAGAGAAUGUUCCAGAGAUCCAGGAGAGGGGGCGUUCCACAGAUCCAGGGAAAGGAUGUCCCACAGAUCCAGGGCAGGGAAUCUGAGCCCUGGUUGCAGAGUCCCCCUGCACGGCCCUGCCCAGCUGUGGCUCCCCCAGGUCUCUGUUGCUCCAGGGUCAGGCACACACAGAUCCUCUCCUGAUGUGGACAAGGGACUGUUUCCCUGUCAGAUGGAUCUUUAGCAGGUUUGGAACAUCCUUACCCAGAGCCAGCCAGAGGAAAGGAUUUCUGUAUAUUUCUAUGAAUACAGAAAAUCCUGAAAAAUCCAGAAAAUCCACAGAAAAUCCUGGUUUCCAGAACCAGCCUUUCAUCCAGAGAUCAGAAAUCCAAGUUCUCCCUGUGUCCAGCUUGAGCAGGUGAAUUUCUGCCUCAUCCAGCUCCAGCUGCUGCUUCCAUCACCCUCCAAGAGGCUCAGGGGUUAUUUUCAGAAGGAGCCUGCAAAGACACCCCCCAGGCCAGACAGACAGGAUGGGGCUGGCAGCCGGGGGGGCCGUGCUGCUGCUCGGUUACACCCCCGAGCCUGGCCCUGCCCGGGCUCCUCCCAGCUGCUCCCGAGGAUCCUUUUUUGGGCGCUUUUCCCCAAAGGCACGCGUGGUUCUUUGUUCAGAACUUUGUGGUGAUUCAAAUGACCGCUCAGUCCCGGAAAGUUAAAACAAGCCCUGCGGCCAGCACAGUGCACAGGAAACAGCUGGGGAGAGGAUGCUGGAACGGAUUUCCAUAAAAGCCAAUGAUUCAUGGAAACGUUCAGUGAGCGGGGCCGGCCUCGGGCUCCUGAGGAGCUACUUCUCCUGACAGACACGAUUCCCGAGCCAGCCCCGCCUGUCAUUCCCGAAUUCCCAGUGCCCCCAGCACCGGCCGUGGAGCAGAGCAGAGGGAACUCCCAACAUGCAGCCUGGGGGUAGCUGAGGGGAUGCUACGUGCCCGAUUUCUGCUGCCAGUGAAAUGCUGCUCAGCUGCCCUGGACUGGGGAAAGGGAUGUCAGGAGGGGGCAGUGCCUGUGUUACAGGGGCUGGAGGGACAGGAUAAGGGGAAUGGCUUCCGCUGCCAGAGGGAAGGGUUGGAUGGGAUAUUGGGAAU